rnacentral:rRNA from 1 species
GGUUAAGCGACUAAGCGUACACGGUGGAUGCCCUGGCAGUCAGAGGCGAUGAAGGACGUGCUAAUCUGCGAUAAGCGCCGGUAAGGUGAUAUGAACCGUUAUAACCGGCGAUUUCCGAAUGGGGAAACCCAGUGUGAUUCGUCACACUAUCAUUACGUGAAUACAUAGCGUAAUGAAGCGAACCGGGGGAACUGAAACAUCUAAGUACCCCGAGGAAAAGAAAUCAACCGAGAUUCCCCCAGUAGCGGCGAGCGAACGGGGAGGAGCCCAGAGCCUGAAUCAGCAUGUGUGUUAGUGGAAGCGUCUGGAAAGGCGCGCGAUACAGGGUGACAGCCCCGUACACAAAAGCGCAUGUGCUGUGAGCUCGAUGAGUAGGGCGGGACACGUGGUAUCCUGUCUGAAUAUGGGGGGACCAUCCUCCAAGGCUAAAUACUCCUGACUGACCGAUAGUGAACCAGUACCGUGAGGGAAAGGCGAAAAGAACCCCGGCGAGGGGAGUGAAAAAGAACCUGAAACCGUGUACGUACAAGCAGUGGGAGCCCCACCACUAAGCCAGUGGUGAACUCCACAUACGCAUCCUUUGCUGAGGAUACGGUUAACGGAGCGAAAGCGACGUUCAACCGCAAAAGAAGCAGAGGGGGCUUAGUGGUGGGGUGACUGCGUACCUUUUGUAUAAUGGGUCAGCGACUUAUAUUCUGUAGCAAGGUUAACCGAAUAGGGGAGCCGCAGGGAAACCGAGUCUUAAUUGGGCGUUAAGUUGCAGGGUAUAGACCCGAAACCCGGUGAUCUAGCCAUGGGCAGGUUGAAGGUUGGGUAACACUAACUGGAGGACCGAACCGACUAAUGUUGAAAAAUUAGCGGAUGACCUGUGGCUGGGGGUGAAAGGCCAAUCAAACCGGGAGAUAGCUGGUUCUCCCCGAAAGCUAUUUAGGUAGCGCCUCGUGAAUUCAUCUCCGGGGGUAGAGCACUGUUUCGGCUAGGGGGCCAUCCCGGCUUACCAACCCGAUGCAAACUGCGAAUACCGGAGAAUGUUAUCACGGGAGACACACGGCGGGUGCUAACGUCCGUCGUGAAGAGGGAAACAACCCAGACCGCCAGCUAAGGUCCCAAAGUCAUGGUUAAGUGGGAAACGAUGUGGGAAGGCCCAGACAGCCAGGAUGUUGGCUUAGAAGCAGCCAUCAUUUAAAGAAAGCGUAAUAGCUCACUGGUCGAGUCGGCCUGCGCGGAAGAUGUAACGGGGCUAAACCAUGCACCGAAGCUGCGGCAGCGACGCUGAUGCGUUGUUGGGUAGGGGAGCGUUCUGUAAGCCUGUGAAGGUGUGUCGUGAGGCAUGCUGGAGGUAUCAGAAGUGCGAAUGCUGACAUAAGUAACGAUAAAGCGGGUGAAAAGCCCGCUCGCCGGAAGACCAAGGGUUCCUGUCCAACGUUAAUCGGGGCAGGGUGAGUCGACCCCUAAGGCGAGGCCGAAAGGCGUAGUCGAUGGGAAACGGGUUAAUAUUCCCGUACUUGGUGUUACUGCGAAGGGGGGACGGAGAAGGCUAUGUUGGCCGGGCGACGGUUGUCCCGGUUUAAGCGUGUAGGUGUGUGUUCCAGGUAAAUCCGGUUCACUUUAACACUGAGGCGUGAUGACGAGGCACUACGGUGCUGAAGCAACAAAUGCCCUGCUUCCAGGAAAAGCCUCUAAGCAUCAGGUAACAUCAAAUCGUACCCCAAACCGACACAGGUGGUCAGGUAGAGAAUACCAAGGCGCUUGAGAGAACUCGGGUGAAGGAACUAGGCAAAAUGGUGCCGUAACUUCGGGAGAAGGCACGCUGACAC